rnacentral:tRNA from 1 species
GAGGGUAUAGCUCACGGGGUAGGGUGCAUGCUUAGCAUGCGUGAGGUCCUAGGUUCAAUCCCCAGUACCUCUU